UACGUAGGUGGCAAGCGUUGUCCGGAUUUACUGGGCGUAAAGGAUGCGUAGGCGGAUAUUUAAGUCAGAUGUGAAAUUCCCGGGCUCAACUUGGGAGCUGCAUUUGAAACUGGGUAUCUAGAGUGCGGGAGAGGAGAGUGGAAUUCCUAGUGUAGCGGUGAAAUGCGUAGAGAUUAGGAAGAACACCAGUGGCGAAGGCGACUCUCUGGACCGUAACUGACGCUGAGGCAUGAAAGCGUGGGGAGCAAACAGG
rnacentral:rRNA from 1 species